UACGUAGGGGGCGAGCGUUGUCCGGAAUCAUUGGGCGUAAAGCGCGCGUAGGUGGCCUCAUAAGUCCGCUGUGAAAGUCAAAGGCUCAACCUUUGAAAGCCGGUGGAUACUGUGAGGCUAGAGUACGGAAGAGGCGAGUGGAAUUCCUGGUGUAGCGGUGGAAUGCGCAGAUAUCAGGAGGAACACCAAUAGCGAAGGCAGCUCGCUGGGACGGUACUGACGCUGAGGCGCGAAAGCGUGGGGAGCGAACAGG
rnacentral:rRNA from 1 species